GCCCGCGCCCGCGCCUUAACUCUCGGCGCGCCGGGGCCGGGGCCGGGGGUCCGCGUGCGCACCCCCGAGGGCCGACCCGGGCUGGGGCUCCGGCGCCGGGCGCGGGCUCCAGACCUCGCCGAGACCCGGCUCGGGACCGGCCAAGGCCAGGGAGCCGCUCAGCUGCGUUCGGCUGCCUGGGAAAGACAGGCCCUGGUCUUCAUGCUGCUCGGGGCACAGCAGGGAGAAGAUGUGCUGCCCAUUCUGACCCUCACCCCCAGCUCCUCGGGGGUCCCCAGUAUUCCCCUCCCCAAACAGCCUCAUGGGAACAAACCUGUUCUACAGAUACCAUGAUUCCCACCCCGGCCCCAUGUUACAGUUCUAUUUGUUGUUGUUGAUUUUUUCAGGAGCUUCAAAACCCUUUCUGCUUCUGAUCAUGUAGGAAAAUACAUAAAUAAAAGUUAGACAUGCAC
ensembl:lncRNA